CUGGCGGCGUGCCUAAUACAUGCAAGUCGAGCGAAUGGAUUAAGAGCUUGCUCUUAUGAAGUUAGCGGCGGACGGGUGAGUAACACGUGGGUAACCUGCCCAUAAGACUGGGAUAACUCCGGGAAACCGGGGCUAAUACCGGAUAACAUUUUGAACCGCAUGGUUCGAAAUUGAAAGGCGGCUUCGGCUGUCACUUAUGGAUGGACCCGCGUCGCAUUAGCUAGUUGGUGAGGUAACGGCUCACCAAGGCAACGAUGCGUAGCCGACCUGAGAGGGUGAUCGGCCACACUGGGACUGAGACACGGCCCAGACUCCUACGGGAGGCAGCAGUAGGGAAUCUUCCGCAAUGGACGAAAGUCUGACGGAGCAACGCCGCGUGAGUGAUGAAGGCUUUCGGGUCGUAAAACUCUGUUGUUAGGGAAGAACAAGUGCUAGUUGAAUAAGCUGGCACCUUGACGGUACCUAACCAGAAAGCCACGGCUAACUACGUGCCAGCAGCCGCGGUAAUACGUAGGUGGCAAGCGUUAUCCGGAAUUAUUGGGCGUAAAGCGCGCGCAGGUGGUUUCUUAAGUCUGAUGUGAAAGCCCACGGCUCAACCGUGGANGGUCAUUGGAAACUGGGAGACUUGAGUGCAGAAGANGAAAGUGGAAUUCCAUGUGUAGCGGUGAAAUGCGUA
rnacentral:rRNA from 1 species